GGACGAACGCUGGCGGCGUGCCUAAUACAUGCAAGUAGAACGCACAGUUUAUACCGUAGCUUGCUACACCAUAGACUGUGAGUUGCGAACGGGUGAGUAACGCGUAGGUAACCUGCCUGGUAGCGGGGGAUAACUAUUGGAAACGAUAGCUAAUACCGCAUAAUAUUGAUUAUUGCAUGAUAAUUAAUUGAAAGGUGCAAUUGCACCACUACCAGAUGGACCUGCGUUGUAUUAGCUAGUAGGUGAGGUAACGGCUCACCUAGGCGACGAUACAUAGCCGACCUGAGAGGGUGAUCGGCCACACUGGGACUGAGACACGGCCCAGACUCCUACGGGAGGCAGCAGUAGGGAAUCUUCGGCAAUGGACGAAAGUCUGACCGAGCAACGCCGCGUGAGUGAAGAAGGUUUUCGGAUCGUAAAGCUCUGUUGUAAGAGAAGAACGGGUGUGAGAGUGGAAAGUUCACACUGUGACGGUAUCUUACCAGAAAGGGACGGCUAACUACGUG
rnacentral:rRNA from 1 species